rnacentral:rRNA from 1 species
UACGAAGGGGGCUAGCGUUGUUCGGAUUUACUGGGCGUAAAGCGCACGUAGGCGGAUCGUUAAGUCGGGGGUGAAAUCCUGGAGCUCAACUCCAGAACUGCCUUCGAUACUGGCGAUCUUGAGUCCGGAAGAGGUGAGUGGAACUCCUAGUGUAGAGGUGGAAUUCGUAGAUAUUGGGAAGAACACCGGUGGCGAAGGCGGCUCUCUGGACCGAUACUGACGCUGAGGCGCGAAAGCGUGGGGAGCAAACAGG